CAAGAAUUGCGAAAGGCUCCUAAACCAUUCGUGAACGUUAUCCUAACCGUUGCUUCGCGGCGCGGCUCCCUCACGGGGUUCCCCGCAGCCCCCUGGCCUCUCAGGCGGUAAGGGCAGCCGCCGGAGGUCACGAAACUCUUGAUAUUAUAGUGGUCUCUCUGAGUCUUAAACUGAAUAAGUCA
rnacentral:misc_RNA from 1 species